rnacentral:rRNA from 1 species
UCGGUUGAUCCUGCCGGAGGCUACCGCUAUUGGAGUUCGAUUAAGCCAUGCGAGUCGCGAGUCUUAGGGACUCGGCGUACCGCUCAGUAACACGUGGGUAACCUGCCCUAUGCUGGGGGAUAACCUCGGGAAACUGAGAAUAAUACCCCAUAGUUCACCACGCCUGGAACGGUGGGUGGAUGAAAGCCCCGGCGGCAUAGGAUGGGCCUGCGGCGUAUCAGGUUGUAGGGGGUGUAAUGUACCCUCUAGCCAUCUACGCGUACGGGUGUUGGGAGACAUCGCCCGGAGAUGGAUUCUGAGACACGAAUCCAGACCCUACGGGGUGCAGCAGGCGCGAAAACUUGGCAAUGCGAGCAAUCGUGACCAGGGAACUCCAAGUGCAUCGGGUAAGACCGAUGCUUUUCUUGACUCUUCAAAGGUCUUGGAAUAAGGGGUGGGUAAGGACGGUGCCAGCCGCCGCGGUAAUACCGGCGCCUCAAGUGGUAGUCGCUUUUAUUGGGCCUAAAACGUCCGUAGCCGGUUUGGUACAUUCGUGGGUAAAUCAAGGCGCUCAACGUCUUGAAUUCUGCGAGCACGGCCAGACUUGGGACCGGGUGAGGUGUGGGGUACUCUCAGGGUAGGGGUAAAAUCCUGUCAUCCUGAGAGGACCACCUGUUGCGAAGGCGCCACACUAGAACGGAUCCGACGGUCAGGGACGAAGCCUAGGGGCACGAACCGGAUUAGAUACCCGGGUAGUCCUAGGUGUAAACGCUGUGGACUUGAUGUUGGGAGUGCUCCGAGCACCCUCAGUGUCGAAGCGAAGGUGAUAAGUCCACUGCCUGGGGAGUACGGUCGCAAGGCUGAAACUUAAAGGAAUUGGCGGGGGAGCACUGCAACCUGAGGAUUGUGCGGUUUAAUUGGAUUCAACGCCGGA